rnacentral:rRNA from 1 species
AUGGCUCAGAACGAACGCUGGCGGCGCGUUUAAGCAUGCAAGUCGAGCGGCAAGGGCCUUCGGGCCCCUAGAGCGGCGGACGGGUGAGUAACACGUGGACAAUCUGCCCCCCGGCCCGGGAUAGCCCAGGGAAACCUGGAUUAAUACCGGAUGAGACGGGACCCGCGAUGGCGGGAUCCGGGAAAGGCGCUGCGGCGCCGCCGGGGGAUGAGUCUGCGUCCCAUUAGCUAGACGGCGGGGUAACGGCCCACCGCGGCGACGAUGGGUAGCCGGCCUGAGAGGGUGGACGGCCACAUUGGAACUGAGGCACGGUCCAGACUCCUACGGGAGGCAGCAGCUAAGAAUCUUCCGCAAUGGGCGAAAGCCUGACGGAAGCGACGCCGCGUGAACGAAGAAGGCCGUGAGGUUGUAAAGUUCUUUUCGGGAGGGGGAACAACCGUGGCAGGGAAUGGCCGCGGGAUGACGUGAAUCCCGGAAUAAGCCCCGGCUAACUACGUGCCAGCCGCGGC